rnacentral:rRNA from 1 species
AUUGAACGCUGGCGGCAGGCCUAACACAUGCAAGUCGAGCGGAUGAAGGGAGCUUGCUCCUGGAUUCAGCGGCGGACGGGUGAGUAAUGCCUAGGAAUCUGCCUGGUGGUGGGGGAUAACGUCCGGAAACGGGCGCUAAUACCGCAUACGUCCUGAGGGAGAAAGUGGGGGAUCUUCGGACCUCACGCUAUCAGAUGAGCCUAGGUCGGAUUAGCUAGUUGGUGGGGUAAAGGCCUACCAAGGCGACGAUCCGUAACUGGUCUGAGAGGAUGAUCAGUCACACUGGAACUGAGACACGGUCCAGACUCCUACGGGAGGCAGCAGUGGGGAAUAUUGGACAAUGGGCGAAAGCCUGAUCCAGCCAUGCCGCGUGUGUGAAGAAGGUCUUCGGAUUGUAAAGCACUUUAAGUUGGGAGGAAGGGCAGUAAGUUAAUACCUUGCUGUUUUGACGUUACCAACAGAAUAAGCACCGGCUAACUUCGU